CGGCGGACGGGUGAGUAACACGUGAUAACCUACCUAUAAGACUGGGAUAACUUCGGGAAACCGGGGCUAAUACCGGAUAAUAUAUUGAACCGCAUGGUUCAAUAGUGAAAGACGGUUUUGCUGUCACUUAUAGAUGGAUCCGCGCCGCAUUAGCUAGUUGGUAAGGUAACGGCUUACCAAGGCAACGAUGCGUAGCCGACCUGAGAGGGUGAUCGGCCACACUGGAACUGGGACACGGUCCAG
rnacentral:rRNA from 1 species